GAUGAACGCUGGCGGCGUGCCUAACACAUGCAAGUCGAACGGAAAGGCCCUGCUUUUGUGGGGUGCUCGAGUGGCGAACGGGUGAGUAACACGUGAGUAUCCCGCCCUUGACUUUGGGAUAACUUCAGGAAACUGCGGCUACCACCGGCUAGCAGCUCCUGCUGCAUGGUGGGCGUUGGAAAGUUUCGGCGGUGGUGGAUGGACUCGCGGCUUACCAGCUUGUUGGGGGAGUAGUGGCUUACCAAGCCUUUGACGGAUAGCCGGCCUGAGAGGGUGACCGGCCACAUUGGGCCUGAGAGACGGCCCAGUCUCCUACGGGAGGCAGCGGUGGGAAAUAUUGCACAGUGGGGGGGAGCCUGAGACAAAGGCGCCGGGUGCGGAAAGACGGCCUUCGGGUUAUAAACCGCUUUCGCCUGUGACGAAGCGGGAGUGACGGUAAUGAGUAAAGAAGCACCGGCUAACUACGUG
rnacentral:rRNA from 1 species